CUGGCCCUAAACGGUGCGCAUUUGCUGUGAGCGGAAUCGACCCCGCUAGUGGCGAAGCUAACGCGUUAAAUGCGCCGCCUGGGAANCGCGAAGAACCUUACCUGGCCUUGACAUGCAAAUAGUAGAAGCCUGAAAGGGUGACGAUUCCGCAAGGAAAGUUUGCACAGGUGC
rnacentral:rRNA from 1 species